CAGACAGUCCUGUGUUCUGCUUUAGUAAUAUAAACACAGUCUCAUAGCCAGGUGUGUAGUGACCAACCAUUCAUACUGGGAUAUAGACAGUCCUGUGUUCUGCUUUAGUAAUAUAAACACAGUCUCAUAGCCAGGUGUGUACUGACCAACCAUUCAUACUGGGAUACAGACAGUCCUGUGUUCUGCUUUAGUAAUAUAAACACAGUCUCAUAGCCAGGUGUGUAGUGACCAACCAUUCAUACUGGGAUAUAGACAGUCCUGUGUUCUGCUUUAGUAAUAUAAACACAGUCUCAAAGCCAGGUGUGUACUGACCAACCAUUCAUACUGGGAUAUAGACAGUCCUGUGUUCUGCUUUAUUAAUAUAAACACAGUCUCAAAGCCAGGUGUGUACUGACCAACCAUUCAUACUGGGAUAUAGACAGUCCUGUGUUCUGCUUGUAGGCAUGCAGGACUUUAGCUGUUGUCAUAUUUUGUCUUUAGACAGUUAAAUUGAUAAAUCACCAGCAUUCCAUGUAACAUUGAAUAAAUAUAUUUGAUGAGUUACUUUGGUAAUGGGCCAGUUUCCCGGACACAUUAAGUCUAGUCCUGGACCUUAAAGAACUUUCUAUUGAAACUUCCAUUGAGCAUGCUUUUUAGUCCAGCACUAGACUCAAUCUGUGUCCAGGAAACAGGCCCCAUAUGUAU